UCAAGGUGUCCGCAACCUGUGACACAACAACUCCUUCGGCCCUAUAAAUGGCGGGAGGUUUAUGUCUUCACUCCAUCCUGCCAUCUCCUGAGAGACCAUCCAGGCAUCCGACUCUCCAUCGUGUCAUCUUCUGAGAAUCUGCCUCAUCUUUCAGCCAUGAAGGUCUUGGGCUUCCUUUUCGCUGUUCUCUUCAUGGUGGCGAUGGCUACUCCCGUUCUAGCACUUCGGCCACCAAGGACUGCUGCAGAAUGUGACAGAGCGGGUGGCAAAUGCAGGUUUCUACGUUGCCCAAGACGUCUGAUCGCCAUUGGGAAGUGCGAUAGAAGAGGCGGAGUUUGCUGUAAGAAACG